GACGAACGCUGGCGGCGUGCCUAAUACAUGCAAGUAGAACGCUGAAGAGAGGAGCUUGCUCUUCUUGGAUGAGUUGCGAACGGGUGAGUAACGCGUAGGUAACCUGCCUUGUAGCGGGGGAUAACUAUUGGAAACGAUAGCUAAUACCGCAUAACAAUGGAUGACACAUGUCAUUUAUUUGAAAGGGGCAAUUGCUCCACUACAAGAUGGACCUGCGUUGUAUUAGCUAGUAGGUGAGGUAAUGGCUCACCUAGGCGACGAUACAUAGCCGACCUGAGAGGGUGGUCGGCCACACUGGGACUGAGACACGGCCCAGACUCCUACGGGGGGAAGCAGUAGGGAAUCUUCGGCAAUGGGGGCAACCCUGACCGAGCAACGCCGCGUGAGUGAAGAAGGUUUUCGGAUCGUAAAGCUCUGUUGUAAGUCAAGAACGGGUGUGAGAGUGGAAAGUUCACAAUGUGACGGUAGCUUACCAGAAAGGGACGGCUAACUACGUG
rnacentral:rRNA from 1 species